GAUCCUGCAGGCUGCUGACGAACUGAAGCUUCCUGCUGAACUUUGAACUGAGGAAAAGGAGCGGGAGGAGGUCAAAGUUGGUCACAGUCCCCUGCUUUGAAGAGGGGGAGCGCACCUGAUGAAGGGUUUGAUGAUGGUGAUGAGCGCUUUGAUGGACCAGGUAGGAUGAACCACAUACACGCCUUUUAGGUUCUUCCUUAACCUGCACACAAACACAUGAUGAUGAAGUAUGCAAGUUUACCUCCCAGGUUGCUCUGACGCCCCCCUAUGGACACACACUGACAUGACAGAAGAAAGCACCUCCAUGCGAUGGUGUGGUAACAUUCCUUCAGCCAGCUGAUCCCGGGAAUUUUGUCUUUCUGUCCUCCAGCACAAAGAUAAACGAUCACAUAGUUUUCGGCUACCAUCAGGUCCAACGUUCCCACCAAGUACCUACAAAACAUGCACUAACCUGAGAUGUUGGCAAAGGUGAAAGGUCACAGCAGGUUUCUGAGGUAUUGUGUGUGUGGGCCGGUCGUACCUCCAUGUGACAGAAUCUUGAGGAAAGGCUCCAGGACGCUCAUGUUGACACGGCUCUGCUGAGGGGGCUCGUCCACGGUGAAAGCGCGCCACCUGGUGCCCUUGUGGUCCACCACAUCCUCACGCUCCAGCGCUCCCAGUCCACCUUGCUCGGAGUCCAGCAAGGACCCGAUCCAGGUCGUCGGUGGGGAAGCGGAGGGACUCGCUGUCUGACGGCGUCUCCAUGGCGUCCAGGUCGAAGUCCAGCACGCCAUCAUCUUGAUCCCCAGGAGACGGCGAGAGGAACGCCGAGUGGAAGUCGCCAGACUCGCUGCGUCCUGAAGAAGACGAAGAAGGCGUCAGCGGACAAACAAGACAAGGCCGCUGACCUUCAUCAUUGGGGUGUCACCUAAGGAUACGCUGAGGGCCGGAGCUGCCAGGACUCUCUUCUUCUUCACGCCACAAGAUAUUGAUAUCGGCAGGGUGCUGGGACGCUCUGAGGACAGGAAGUAAGAAAAUCAGACAGAUGAAAGCGAAAAUAGACAUUUGUCAAACGUGUUAAGAGGGUUUGCCUGCUGUGGCUCUGGAUGACGUUUCCUCCCCAACUCCUCCUCCUUGAAGACCAUGAUGGUGAUAAGAGGAAAAAAAGGCGACAUGUUGACAUCUCACUGAGUCUUCAUCACACUGUCUGCUCACCUGUGUCCUCUUCCUUCUUGUCUUCCUCCCGCUCCUCCUCUUCCUCCCUGUCUUCAUCCCGCUCCUCCUUUUCCUCUUCACAACAACAAUCACUCAUGAAAGAGGUCAAUCACCUUCACCUCUUGUCUGCGUGCUUCUAACCUGCUGAAUCAGCGUCUCUUGUCUCCAUGGCAACACUGCACCCCUGCACUGACGAGUCUUCCUCACGUUCUAUUUGAUAGUCACUUCAUUAGAUAUACAGAAACUCGUCCUCAUAACAAAUCAUAUCAAUUCAAUUUAACCAAAGUGAUACUUUGAAUGCUCUCAUAAAGGUGUAAUUGAACUACAAUAAAGUACAAAUAGUAUAAUACAACUACAAUACAGUAAAACUAGUAUCUUAACAUACUGAAACUAUAUUAGGUAAAACCAAAAUAAAGUAAAACUACCCACCUAGCAUAACGAAAUUACAAAAGGCUCCAGCUCCCGCCCUGCAACCCUGACAGGGAUAAGCGGUAGAAAUGGAUGGAUGGAAUACAAUAAAACUACUUACCAAACAUAAUGAAAUUACAAUAAUGUGAAACUGAAAUAAAAGAAAACUUCUCACUUACCUCAAUAAAACAUCAAACUACAAUAAAGUAAAACUACUCCCCUGGCACAAUGAAACUACAAUACAGUAAAACUACUUACCUAACAUAAUUAAACUACCAUCGAGUAAAACAAAAAUAAAGGAAUACUCACCUAGCAUAAUUAAACUACAAUUAAGUUAAAAACUACAAAAAAGUAAAACUACUCACCUGGUAUAAUGACUACAAUACAGUAAAAUUACUUAAGUAACAUACUGAAAUUACAAGUAAAACUAAGAUACAGUAAAAUUACUUACUGAACAUAAUGAAACGACAAUAACUUAAAAAUGAAAUAAAGAAUAACUUCUCACCAAGCUUAAUCAAACUCCAAUAAAGUUAAACUACUCACCUGGCGUAAUGAAACUGCAAUACAGUAAAACUACUUACCUAACAUAAUGAAACUGCAAUAUACUAAAACUAAAAUAAAUGAAAACUACUCACCUAGCAUAAUUAAACUACAAUUAAGUGAAAGACGACAGUUAAGCAAAAUUACUCACCUGGUCUAAUGACUACUAUACAGUAAAACCACUUACCUAACACAAUAAAAAUAUAAUAAAGUACACUUUUUGUACAACUUAAAUAAAGGAAAACUUCUCACCUAGCUUAAUCAAACUAAAAUAAAUAAAAACUACUCACCUAGCAUAAUUAAACUACAAUUAAGUUAACAUGUUAAAUAAUUUAAACUACUCACUUGGCAUAACAUACUAUAACGCAGUAAAACUACUUACCUAACAUAUUUAAACUACUAUAAAAUUUAAAAAAAAGUUAAAAAGUAAAACUACUCACCUAGCAUAUUGAAAUUACAAUACAGUAUACUGUUUACUUAACUUAAUGAAACUACAACAAACUGAAAAUACCAUACAGUAAAACUAAUUACUAAACAUAUUGAAAUUACAAGUAAAACAUAAAAUACAGAAAAAACUACUUAGUUCAGUUCAGUUCAGUUUCAGUUUAUUUCGGACAUGCAUACGAUACAACGUAAUGCAUCACAUAUUUCCAGUUGUUUCAUUACAGCACGUCCGAAAAGGAGUAGGAAGAAGCCGAGCUUAUUUAAUCCUACCCCUUUUCAUACCAUAGCAAUUUUAUCCCAUUUCCUUGUUCUCUGUAACAGAACAGUGAAUACAUAAAUAAUAUACCAUAGUGAGUAAACAAAUAUUAAAUACAUAUAUAAUCUUUAUCUAAAACACCAACAACAACAACAAAAACAACAAAAAUGAAAAAUAAAAAAAGGGUUCAAGAUGUUCAUCAUAAUUAUUGUUCUGUGUACUUUGUGAACACUUGUAGUUUGAACAGUCUCUUAAAGUGAAUCAUAUUGGUGCUUUGUUUGACUUCUUUGGUUAAUUCAUUCCAUAAUUUAAUUCCACAUACGGAUAUGAUAAAUGUUUUAAAUGUUGUACGAGCAUACAAAUGUUUUAAAUUAGAUUUUUCUCUGAGGUUAUAUUUCUCCUCUUCUGUUGAGAAGAAUUGUUGUACAUUCUUGGGUAGCAGAGUGUAGUUUGUUUUAAACAUAAUUUUAGCUGUUUGCAAAUGCACCAAAUCGUUGAAUUUCAAUAUUUGUGUGUGUGAUUCAAUAAAUAAAGGGUUUGUAUAUU